ACUUAAAUGUGAACCAUCUCUUUGAUAAGCUGAAGUUGAAUGAGCUCAUUAAGUUUUUAGUAUGAUUUUUUUUUUUUUGGUGAUUCUCCUCUGAACUAUGCGCCUAUUUUCAAAAUCUUUGUUGAGGUUUGAGCACUGCAAAUGUGGAACAGCAGACAAACACGAGUCACCUGUCUUGUGCACUUUCAGUCAUGAUAUUGCUUUGAAGCUCACCCAUGAGUAACUGUUCCGCAAAGCCCUCCUCUCCCCUAGCUUUUUCAUUGCAUCUCAGCUUCCCAGACAAGGGCACCACCACCACCACGUAUAGAUAGUCCACACUUGGUGUUAGCUUGAGGCUUUUCCACUAGGUUUAAUUUAUGGCCAUGGUGAAAGCAGAACUCAUGGGACAAGAAGCUAGGAGAUGGAGCGGAGCCCUAGGGGGCCAGGUGGGAGUGCUGGUGGGUCAUGCUGGGAAGCAUCAUGAGCUGCUGGGAACAACUGGGAGGAAUCCACCUUGUUUAGGACUGCGCAGAUGGAAGGUGGAGCCUACAGAAAAGUCCUGCGAAAAGAGGCAUCUGACAACUGCCUUCUCCAGCAGAGCAAUUCUGCUGCCCCAUUGUUUUUACCUGUUGGCUUAGGUAGGAACCUAUUUUUGUCUAUGCCGAAAAGCAGAUCUGCUUAAGUUUUUUACCCCUGGAAGUACGGCCUUGAGCUUGUCUGUAUGGCCGUGUAUGUGUGUGUUCUGCUUGGAUAAUGCAGUUAUAAUAAUUGUUUAACAAUGGCAUGUUCUUCAGAUGAUGUUGCACUUCCUUGAUCUUUGCCAUGUAGGACCUUAUCAGUAACGGUUUCUGUUUUCUUCCAGGUCAUUGUUAACAACAUUGAAUGUUCACAAGUUUUAACUGGGGGAGGUGGAGAGAAGACUGGACAAAGCUUAAAACCAGCCACGAGAAGAGAAUUGCUGCAAAGCGAGGAAGGCUUUGGGGUGUUUUUCCACUCGUUGACAUGCAGAACAUCUUUAUAGGUUAUGGUUUUAUCUGACGCUCAGGAAGCCCACUUGGCUCUGUUUCCUGCUAACAUGCGGCCCUGGCUCACAAAAUCUCUGAGAACAACAGGCCUGAGACUGCUCGGCUCCAUUAAAAAAACUGGCAACUUUUCAAGCCCUGACAGAAAACCUUUGAAAGCUCUGGAUUUCCUCCAACUAACGUAUGAGGCUCCUACAUCGGUGACAAAUUAGACUGAAACAGCACAAAACGCUCCUAUUUUUCUUAGGCUCCAGGAGCAACCUUUCCUUCCUGGAAACCAGGACAAAAUGGCUGUUGUGAGCUCUUCGGCAAAAGGUCUGUGUCCAGCACUGAGCACAAGCCUCUAAAUGCUGCCAUUCCUCAACUAUUAAAUAAUAGUUAUAACAGGCACAACUGAUUCCUGAUUUCCCGAGGGACAGCAGAAGAGGCUUUUCACUGCGAUUCCAAAGGGACUCCUGCUUCCAAAAAUGCUUUCAAGUAUCGGAAUAGAUGUGACCUUUGAUGCUGAGAAUGCUAUUUUCUCCUGAGCUGACAUUUUACAAUAUUCUAAGAAAUCUUACCAUGAAGCCACUUCUCAUGUCUGUCAGUAAUGAUCAUAACUUCAGAAUAUUACACUUUUAUUCUUUUUUUU